rnacentral:rRNA from 1 species
AACAAAAACAUGUCCUUUAGAUUAUAAUUAUAGGUCUAACCUGCCCAAUGAUUUUUUAAUGGCCGCAGAAAUUUAACUGUGCAAAGGUAGCAUAAUCAUUAGUUUUUUAAUUGAAAGCUUGUAUGAAUGGUUGGACGAGAUAAAUUCUGUCUUUUUUUAAUAAUAUGAAUUUAAUUUUUAAGUUAAAAAGCUUAAAUUUAAUUAAUAGACGAGAAGACCCUAUAGAUCUUUAUAAAAUUAUUAUUAAAUAUUUUAAGAAUAUUAAAUUUUUAAUAUGAAAUUUUAUUUUAUUGGGGUAAUAUAAAGAUUUAAAAAAUUCUUUAUUUUUUAUUACAUAAAUAUAUGUUUAUUAGAUCCAAUAAUAUUGAAAUAAGAUUAAGUUACCUUAGGGAUAACAGCGUAAUUUUUUUAGAGAGUUCAUAUCGAUAAGAAAGUUUGCGACCUCGAUGUUG